CCUACGGGUGGCAGCAGUGGGGAAUAUUGGACAAUGGGCGAAAGCCUGAUCCAGCCAUGCCGCGUGUGUGAAGAAGGCCUUCGGGUUGUAAAGCACUUUCAGUGGGGAAGAAAGCCUUGGGGCUAAUACCCUCGAGGAAGGACAUCACCCACAGAAGAAGCACCGGCUAACUCCGUGCCAGCAGCCGCGGUAAUACGGAGGGUGCGAGCGUUAAUCGGAAUUACUGGGCGUAAAGCGCGCGUAGGCGGUCUGAUAAGCCGGUUGUGAAAGCCCCGGGCUCAACACUGGGAACGGCAUCCGGAACUGUCAGGCUAGAGGCGAGGAGAGGAAGGUAGAAUUCCCGGUGUAGCGGUGAACUGCGUGGAGAUCGGGAGGAAUACCAGUGGCGAGGGCGGCCUUCUGGACUGACACUGACGCUGAGGUGCGAAAGCGUGGGUAGCAAACAGGAUUAGAUACCCGGGUAGUC
rnacentral:rRNA from 1 species